GCCGAUGUGAUGGUGUGAAGUGGUGACUGGCCUGAGGGCCCCUCCUUAUGGGAUUAGUGCCCCCAGAAAGAGCCUUAUCGGGGGUCUGUCCCUCCCGCCAUUGCCUCCUGAGGACCCGCAUUUCUCCCUCCAGGGGACACUGCACGCCAGGCACCGUCUUGGGUAGAGAGCAGCCCUCACCAAAUGCGGGUGCCUUGGCCUUGGACUUUCAGCCCCCAGCACUGUGAGAAGUUCUCUCUCCUUUGGGACCAAGGUGGAGUCUUGCUUCUCCGUGGGCAUGUGAGGGUGAGUGAAACCACGAC
rnacentral:lncRNA from 10 species